ACGGCGGACGGGUGAGUAAUGCCUAGGAAUCUGCCUGGUAGUGGGGGAUAACGUCCGGAAACGGGCGCUAAUACCGCAUACGUCCUGAGGGAGAAAGUGGGGGAUCUUCGGACCUCACGCUAUCAGAUGAGCCUAGGUCGGAUUACCUAGUUGGUGGGGUAAAGGCCUACCAAGGCGACGAUCCGUAACUGGUCUGAGAGGAUGAUCAGUCACACUGGAACUGAGACACGGUCCAGACUCCUACGGGAGGCAGCUGUGGGGAAUAUUGAACAAUGGGCGAAAGCCUGAUCCUUCCAU
rnacentral:rRNA from 1 species